rnacentral:rRNA from 1 species
GAUAAACGCUGGCGGCGUGCCUAAUACAUGCAAGUCGAGCGAACGGACGAGAAGCUUGCUUCUCUGAUGUUAGCGGCGGACGGGUGAGUAACACGUGGAUAACCUACCUAUAAGACUGGGAUAACUUCGGGAAACCGGAGCUAAUACCGGAUAAUAUUUUGAACCGCAUGGUUCAAAAGUGAAAGACGGUCUUGCUGUCACUUAUAGAUGGAUCCGCGCUGCAUUAGCUAGUUGGUAAGGUGACGGCUUACCAAGGCAACGAUGCAUAGCCGACCUGAGAGGGUGAUCGGCCACACUGGAACUGAGACACGGUCCAGACUCCUACGGGAGGCAGCAGUAGGGAAUCUUCCGCAAUGGGCGAAAGCCUGACGGAGCAACGCCGCGUGAGUGAUGAAGGUCUUCGGAUCGUAAAACUCUGUUAUUAGGGAAGAACAUAUGUGUAAGUAACUGUGCACAUCUUGACGGUACCUAAUCAGAAAGCCACGGCUAACUACGUGCCAGCAGCCGCGGUAAUACGUAGGUGGCAAGCGUUAUCCGGAAUUAUUGGGCGUAAAGCGCGCGUAGGCGGUUUUUUAAGUCUGAUGUGAAAGCCCACGGCUCAACCGUGGAGGGUCAUUGGAAACUGGAAGACUUGAGUGCAGAAGAGGAAAGUGGAAUUCCAUGUGUAGCGGUGAAAUGCGCAGAGAUAUGGAGGAACACCAGUGGCGAAGGCGACUUUCUGGUCUGUAACUGACGCUGAUGUGCGAAAGCGUGGGGAUCAAACAGGAUUAGAUACCCUGGUAGUCCACGCCGUAAACGAUGAGUGCUAAGUGUUAGGGGGUUUCCGCCCCUUAGUGCUGCAGCUAACGCAUUAAGCACUCCGCCUGGGGAGUACGACCGCAAGGUUGAAACUCAAAGGAAUUGACGGGGACCCGCACAAGCGGUGGAGCAUGUGGUUUAAUUCGAAGCAACGCGAAGAACCUUACCAAAUCUUGACAUCCUUUGACAACUCUAGAGAUAGAGCCUUCCCCUUCGGGGGACAAAGUGACAGGUGGUGCAUGGUUGUCGUCAGCUCGUGUCGUGAGAUGUUGGGUUAAGUCCCGCAACGAGCGCAACCCUUAAGCUUAGUUGCCAUCAUUAAGUUGGGCACUCUAAGUUGACUGCCGGUGACAAACCGGAGGAAGGUGGGGAUGACGUCAAAUCAUCAUGCCCCUUAUGAUUUGGGCUACACACGUGCUACAAUGGACAAUACAAAGGGCAGCGAAACCGCGAGGUCAAGCAAAUCCCAUAAAGUUGUUCUCAGUUCGGAUUGUAGUCUGCAACUCGACUACAUGAAGCUGGAAUCGCUAGUAAUCGUAGAUCAGCAUGCUACGGUGAAUACGUUCCCGGGUCU